UCCGUAGCCGGGUUGUUAAGUCUCCUGGGAAAUCCAACGGCUCAACCGUUGGGCGGUCAGGGGAUACUGGCAAUCUAGGGAUCGGGGGAGGUGAGAGGUACUCUAGGGGUAGGAGUGAAAUCCUGUAAUCCUUGGGGGACCACCUGUGGCGAAGGCGUCUCACCAGAACGACUCCGACGGUGAGGGACGAAAGCUGGGGGAGCAAACCGGAUUAGAUACCCGGGUAGUCCCAGCUGUAAACGAUGCGCGUUAGGUGUAUCGGUGACUACGAGUCACCGAGGUGCCGAAGGGAAACCGUGAAACGUGCCGCCUGGGAAGUACGGUCGCAAGGCUGAA
rnacentral:rRNA from 1 species